rnacentral:rRNA from 1 species
UACGAAGGGGCUAGCGUUGCUCGGAAUCACUGGGCGUAAAGCGCACGUAGGCGGAUUGCUAAGUCAGGGGUGAAAUCCUGGAGCUCAACUCCAGAACUGCCCUUGAUACUGGCGACCUUGAGUCCGGGAGAGGUGAGUGGAACUGCGAGUGUAGAGGUGAAAUUCGUAGAUAUUCGCAAGAACACCAGUGGCGAAGGCGGCUCACUGGCCCGGUACUGACGCUGAGGUGCGAAAGCGUGGGGAGCAAACAGG